UCAUUUCCGUGGCCAUGUGUUCAUUUCCGCCCAGUGUGCCGAGAUUACUAUUGCUGCUGCUGCUGCGUUGCUUUUCACUGUUAGUGCGUGGCAGCAGUCUGUUCUACUCUCUUUCGUGCGUCCACAUCGCCGCGUACCGAGCUGUGCUUGUGCAUGUGUGCGUGUGUGUGUGUGUGUGUGUACACUUGCAACAUCGUUCCCUACAGCGAGCUAGUCGGAACCGAUAGAAAGGCGCAUCUAUAGCGAGCAGCAUCCUGCCGCUAUAGGCACAAAGAAAAAAGCGCUGCCAGUGUAAUGGGAUGCCCAUCGGCGUGCACACCAAUCAUCAAUCAAUCAUUUUCAAAAGCAAAAUGGAAGCGAAGUUCGAUUGUUUGCUGCAGUGUGGCGCAGACAUGACACACUCCACUGGUGGUUGUGCACACGGUGGUUGUUGCAGGUCUGUGUGAGGAUAGCAUGUUUUCGAUGAUGUUUCCGCGCUGCUGCCGAUGGCUGUUGGAGAAAAUGAAAAUGUUGUUUGAUUGAUUUUAUUGUAUUUUUAAAGUGUUGGGAAGCAAAUGGAGAAUGAUACGCCUUCGUUGGAGCCGCUAGUCGCUAAGGGUCAUCAGCUAUUCGGAAACAGGCCAGCUUUCGAUGCUCUGAUUGUUACCUAAUAUAGUCAAGCUGUUCUAGAACUGAGCUUUUCCGGAACUGGGCUCAUCCUACUACCAAAAACUGCAGCACAAUUUCCGCUUACGCCGUGUCUGAGUGCCGUCCUUUAAUCGUGCACGCUUCCGACCGAAGCUGCUUCCAUUUUUGAAGCCUUGCACUAAUAUAUUUGUUGGAAAAGACAGUUUUAGCUUUCAACUGGAUUGAACUCAAGUCUGUAAAGCUUCAAUCGUUCAGGAAUGCCGUAAGGAGAGUUUGCUCUAUUUCAUCAGCUCAUCUGAAUGGACUGAACUCCACAAAAUUUGCAUGAUUUUAUUUUGAGUGGCUCUUUAUAAGUUGUUCACUUUUUUACUCAUUUAUAUAGAUCGUUGCUUAAUUAUUUUAU